rnacentral:lncRNA from 1 species
CUUAAAAUUACUGACGUUAUGAAUUGGUUUGAUGCUUUUCUCAUGUACCUCAAUCCUUAUUUUAAAAUAAGAUCAAUAACACUAUUUUCCUAAAUGUUGUCCUUACCUGCCCUACACAUAUUCAGAAUUGCUAUGGCAGAUUAAGACAUGUCAAUGGAAGAGGUCAGAGGAGUAAUAUUAUUGGCAACAGCUGUAAUAGGUGCCAUAAAAAGCAAACAAACAAAAGUAUUUUGGUUCUUUGCGACCACAGCUGUCCCCAAAUAUACAGAUGAUUCAGCACUUAUUUUAAAAUGAAUCUGGGUAUUGCUAAUACCCCCAAAUUAGCAGUUUUUAAUUUUAAAAUACAUGAGAAAUGGGACUUUGUCUUGUCUCCAAAGCAGUCAUCUAAAAUCUACACCCCCACGAUUAGAUGAGUUAUUACUGAGAAGUUAUUGCACCCACAAAAAAGCUGCCAUUUUUUUCCAAAGAUGUCAAAAGCUAGAAGGCCAGGUCUUCUCAAAGUAAAAUACACUGUGUAUUGGGGAAAAAAGGGUAAGAGGCAUAAUUACCAAGUUAGGCAUAGUCUGUCAAGUUGUAUUUAGCUAUUAUCAUGGAAUAGUGUUAUUCCCUGAUAAUGAAUGUUGGCAUCAUAACCAGAAUGAUUAUUCUCAUCUCCAUAUCUUCGUAUUUACAUCUAGGAAAUAUAAAGCUUAUUUAUAGUGAACACUGAGAGUGGUCUCUCUCCAAGGAGUAAAGUAAAUAUGCCCUGGCUAACUAGUGUAAGUUUGUAUUCUACAUAAUUAACCAUUAUAAGAAGUCACUGAGUAGAUCCUAACUUAAGGGAUAUUUGUUUGUGUUUGAGUAUUUCUCGUGUGGUGUUUCUAAGUUUGAAAAGUGUUUUAUAAGCAUAGAGCUUAUGUGUGCUACUGGGGACAAAUGUCUCAUUUUAAAGGAAAGAGGGUUUUCUGAGAUGGCAUGAAAUGAGUGAAAUCUAUUUAUUGCCUGAAAGCUAAAGUGGAAUAUGAAGGCAAGUCUUUCUGAACAGAGCAGUCCUGUCACUGACUAACCCAGGGAAAGGACAGGAAAAAGCUAGAAAGUGUUUUGAAAACUCUUCUGCUUACCUUUUGAAUUGGGACAUUAACAAAGUAAGGACCAUUUAUGUGACUGGCUUCCUUUGGUUAGUUAUGAUUCAUUCAUUAAUUAAUUCAUCAGAUUUAUAUAGAGCACCUGCCAUGAGCCAGGCAUUAUACUAGAUGUUUGGGAAACAUUGGUAAACAAAAGCAAAGAUCCCUGCUUUUAUGGAACUUAAGAUAUUCUGAGACACUGGAUCAUACAUUCUAGUGCAGUCACCUUAUUAAAACUUAAGAUUUUGUGAUGCAAACAAACAGCCAGAAGCUACAAAUAAUGUAAAUGUUAUAUUUAAAAAAUACAAUUUCAAAGAAAUGACAUUUAAACCAGUUUUAGGAAAGCUGAAGACAAUAUUGCUUUUAGAGCUUUUUAAGAUCAGUUUAUAUUGCUCUUAAAUGAUAAUCCUCAGCUUCCAAGUUUUUGUGAACUCACUUUGGUUUAUGUGUUUGCUACACUCACUGAGAAAUUAAACACCUUGCUUGAUUUAUUGUAAAAAGGAAAAAACAACAGAGCCAUACUUAAGCAGUCUUAAACUUAUUUAUUAACGUUAUCUUGAGUCUACAGAGAACAGAAAGCUAUCUAAGAGGUAGAAAGCUGUCAAAUACCUAUUAUCAAACUCUGAAUUCUCCUAUAAUAUUUCAUAAAGCUAUUAUAACACCUUAAUACCUUACUGUCAGUGUCUGUUUGCAGCCUUUCCACAUUUCUUCUACAUAAUUGAAACAGUCUUGAUAUUCUUUUGCCAUUGGGACUGCUUGUCAGACACACUUCAUUGCAGCCUUUUAUUGGCUAUUUGGAAAGGAAGCAAGGGGUACAGUGGGGGCGCACACAGGCCUGGAGUCUGGUUCAUUCUCCAGAAUAGAAAUAAAACCCCCCAGUCUCUGCCUUUAAUGCCUUCCAUCCAGUUGUUUUGCUGUAUCUCAUGCCUCCUUUUUAAAAAACUGCCUUAAUUUUCUAAUCUUUCUCAUCCCCAAACACAUAUAAUCUAGUGAAUCACAUCAUUUCCUUGCAUAACUAUAAAAGAUUAUCCUUUCCCAAAAAGCCUUUUUAUAAGUGCCACCUAACACAUUCAUGGGCUGCUUCCCUGGGCCAUCUGGUAUAUGAUUUAUGAAUUUACUCAUUUUACUAUGAGGAUUAUUAGCAAGUAAAAUUAGGAAGGUUAUCCCAACUCCUAAAAAAGUUAUACAAAAAUAAAAUGAUCUUGUAUCAAGAAUAAAAAUAACUAUUCACUAUUUAGGAUUAUUCACACAUUUGUUGUGCCUGCACUGAUAUCCUGCUCCUAUCCAUGGAUGUGUGUGUGUGUGUGUGUGUGUGUGUGUAUAUAUAUAUAUAUAUGUGUAUAUGUGUAUAUAUAUAUAUAUGUGUAUAUGUGUAUAUAUAUAUAUGUAUAUAUAUAGCUGAAGUUGACUAUAUGUUGCAGGACUUUCUGUUGUAGCACUUAGGCCUCUGCCUAAAACUCAGCAGAGAAGAGGCCUUAGCUAAUAGGAGAUAGUGCAUAUGAAUAAGCUAAUAUGUAUAUUCUAUCCAUACUGGGCAUAAUCAGUGUUGUAGGACGUAGAACAACAGCGCAGGACUAAGAGUUCUGUAUCACAGCCCACUCUUGGGUCUCAGCUUCAUCUAUAAAAGAAGAGUGAGUUAGAUUAGAGAAUUUCUGAUGUCUCUUCUAAUCAUUGUGGUAACCCCACUUGUCACCUUGCAUAGUACCUGGCUCAUCACAGUUCUACAAUGCCAGUAAUGCAGUGACUCUUCUAGCAAAGUAACUUACUUUGUGACAGAUAACUUUGAUAAAUGAAAAUGUAACAGUCAUGGUGUUCAUGUACUUUCUCUAUGGUUGGAAAACUAUACACUAACCCCUGGCCUGAAAGGAAAGAGUGCUCUGAAGACCAGGGAUUUCUGGCAUUGGAAGCGAAUGCUAUUCCCACGCAGAAUAAAUUAGGAGCUGAGGUGUACUGGCUGGUGACACUCAGAUUCUAGUGUGGCAGUACUAGCUUCAACUCUCUAAAUAAAUUUCAAGGCUUUGUGAAAAUAACCUCUCUUCUCAUUCAAGGGUAUGUUUACUGGUUCCAUUCAACAAAUAUUUACUGAGCACUUCCUAACUGUAAAAGGAUAGUGUUUGCAUCUAGAGGACUAGAGACAUGCCUGCACAUCCCUCACCUUCAAAGGUGAACUCUACACAGGAUUCUUGUCCUAGUCAUUGUGGCAACCCC